AGGAUUAACGCUGGCGGCGUGCCUAACACAUGCAAGUCGAACGAGGUAGCAAUACCUAGUGGCAGACGGGUGAGUAGCGCGUGGUCAACCUACCGUUGAGUGGGGGAUAACUAGCCGAAAGGUUAGCUAAUACCGCAUACGUCUCCGAGGGGCAUCCCUUGGUGAUAAAAGGAGCAAUCCGCUCGAUGACGGGACCGCGUCCCAUUAGCUAGUUGGUGGGGUAACGGCCUACCAAGGCAUCGAUGGGUAGCUGGUUUGAGAGAGCGACCAGCCACACUGGGACUGAGAUACGGCCCAGACUCCUACGGGAGGCAGCAGUGAGGAAUUUUCCGCAAUGGGCGAAAGCCUGACGGAGCGACGCCGCGUGUGGGAAGAAGGCCUUCGGGUCGUAACCACUGUCGAAGGGAAGAUAAUGACGGUACCCUUGGAGGAAGCCCCGGCUAACUACGCGCCAGCAGCCGC
rnacentral:rRNA from 1 species